rnacentral:rRNA from 1 species
UUAAACCACAUGCUCCACCGCUGUGCGGGCCCCGUCAAUUCCUUGAGUUUCAACCUGCGGUCGUACUCCCCCAGGCGGAAUGCUUAAUGCGUUAGCUGCGGCACUGAAGGGCGGAAACCCUCCAACACCUAGCAUUCAUCGUUUACGGCAUGGACUACCAGGGUAUCUAAUCCUGUUCGCUACCCAUGCUUUCGAGCCUCAGCGUCAGUUACAGACCAGACAGCCGCCUUCGCCACUGGUGUUCUUCCAUAUAUCUACGCAUUUCACCGCUACACAUGGAGUUCCACUGUCCUCUUCUGCACUCAAGUUUCCCAGUUUCCGAUGCGCUUCCUCGGUUAAGCCGAGGGCUUUCACAUCAGACUUAAAAAACCGCCUGCGCUCGCUUUACGCCCAAUAAAUCCGGAUAACGCUUGCCACCUACGUAUUACCGCGGCUGCUGGCACGUAGUUAGCCGUGGCUUUCUGGUUGGAUACCGUCACGCCGACAACAGUUACUCUGCCGACCAUUCUUCUCCAACAACAGAGUUUUACGACCCGAAAGCCUUCUUCACUCACGCGGCGUUGCUCCAUCAGACUUGCGUCCAUUGUGGAAGAUUCCCUACUGCUGCCUCCCGUAGGAGUUUGGGCCGUGUCUCAGUCCCAAUGUGGCCGAUCAACCUCUCAGUUCGGCUACGUAUCAUCGCCUUGGUGAGCCAUUACCUCACCAACUAGCUAAUACGCCGCGGGUCCAUCCAAAAGCGAUAGCUUACGCCAUCUUUCAGCCAAGAACCAUGCGGUUCUUGGAUCUAUGCGGUAUUAGCAUCUGUUUCCAAAUGUUAUCCCCCACUUAAGGGCAGGUUACCCACGUGUUACUCACCCGUCCGCCACUCGUUCCAUGUUGAAUCUCGGUGCAAGCACCGAUCAUCAACGAGAACUCGUUCGACUUGCA